CUUCUAGGGAAGCUGACUUUCCACAGGAGUCUGUCAAAGGGUGAGUGGAGCUGUCCCCGGAGUUUGUUUAGGAAGAUUUCAUUUCCUUACAUUUUGAAAGAAGUUUGGAAGGAGCAGAGGAAGUAUUUGAGACAAGUACGGAAAGAAAAAUGGACUUUGCAAGGAGAAACUUGCCAAGAUGUAGGACUUUUCAAGAAACGAAAAGGUGUUCUGUCUUAGAAAAGAGUGGUAGUCCUCAAAGGGACUGCACACAGGGUGACUUGGAAAGCUUGUGAAAUGCCAGAGGCAGGCAGGCCUCUACUUUCGGAUUAGCUCGAUCCCCUUUCUGGAGAGACUCCGCCGAUCUACACAAUAAGAUGAAAAAAUAGCAGCGAAACUUGAAGUUACUGCAGACAUCACUGCAGAAAAAAAACAGCCGUCAAGGGAGUGGAAGGUGCGUCGGACAUUUGACGAAGUUGUGGCCAACUACGGACCUCUUCACAAUUUUCAGGGAAAAUGCAAAAAUAGAUUAAUGGUGUUUUCGAUCCUCUCUGUCUCUGUCUCUGUCUCUGUCUCUGUCUCUGUCUCUCUGUCUCUCUCUCUGUCUCUGUGUCUGUCUUUCUUUCUCUCUCACCAGUCUUCAGAGGAGAAAGGCACUAAUUUACUUGUUUAUUUUCUUUUUCCUUUUUGGAUUUUUAAGACGGAAUCUCUCUGUGUAGCC